GACGAACGCUGGCGGCGUGCUUAACACAUGCAAGUCGAACGGAAAGGCCCUGCUUUUGUGGGGUGCUCGAGUGGCGAACGGGUGAGUAACACGUGAGUAACCUGCCCUUGACUUUGGGAUAACUUCAGGAAACUGGGGCUAAUACCGGAUAGGAGCUCCUGCUGCAUGGUGGGGGUUGGAAAGUUUCGGCGGUUGGGGAUGGACUCGCGGCUUAUCAGCUUGUUGGUGUGGUAGUGGCUUACCAAGGCUUUGACGGGUAGCCGGCCUGAGCGGGUGACCGGCCCCAUUGGGACUGAGAUACGGCCCAGACUCCUACGGGAGGCAGCAGUGGGGAAUAUUGCACAAUGGGCGGAAGCCUGAUGCAGCAACGCCGCGUGCGGGAUGACGGCCUUCGGGUUGUAAACCGCUUUCGCCUGUGACGAAGCGUGAGUGACGGUAAUGGGUAAAGAAGCACCGGCUAACUACGUG
rnacentral:rRNA from 1 species